CCUACGGGUGGCAGCAGUGAGGAAUAUUGGUCAAUGGCCGGAAGGCUGAACCAGCCAUGCCGCGUGAAGGUCAGUGCCCUAUGGGCGUUAAACUUCUUUUGUGCGGGAGCAAUAAUGGUCACGUGUGGCCAGACGAGAGUACCGUACGAAUAAGCAUCGGCGAACUCCGUGCCAGCAGCCGCGGUAAUACGGGGGAUGCCAGCGUUAUCCGGAUUUAUUGGGUUUAAAGGGGGCGUAGGGUGUGAGGUAAGUCAGCGGUGAAAUGCCCCCGCGCAACGGGGUGAAGUGCCAUUGAGACUGCCUGGCUGGAGUGCGAAUGCCGUGGGAGGAAUGUGUGGUGUAGCGGUGAAAUGCAUAGAUAUCACACAGAACACCGAUUGCGAAGGCAUCUCACGAAUCCGCGAUUGACGCUGAUGCACGAAAGCGUGGGUAUCAAACAGGAUUAGAUACCCUAGUAGUC
rnacentral:rRNA from 1 species